CACAUAUUUUUCGUGCCAUAAUAUGGAAUUAAAACCGACGAAAGCAACGCUGUACCUUGUUGUAACCAUUUGACGGAAAUGAACAACAGCUACUAACAUCACCGCUAUCUUCGGAAUGUAGAAAAAAAUUAAAGUUUCGAUGACCAGAAGGAGGUAAAUUUCAAUUUUUUCGACUAAAGUUACAGUUUGCUUCAAUUCGCCUUCGGUAUCGACGAGAAUUUCAAAGAGAAUUGUCCAAUGAGCACAAAUUGCAAUGUAGACCAUCACAAAUGGAAUGAUGACCAUGAUGAUGUUCGAUAAUAACAGAUUGCUAAAAAAAAAUUGCAUACAUGAGUGAUUGUGAAAAGAAAAGUUAAAAAAAAAUUACUAACCGACAUCCGUACGUCAUGAUUUUGUAAAAUGGAAGAAGAAUUUUUGGAGGCAUGAAAUCCGGUGAGGAGAUUCUGAAGAGAAAAAUGACGAUGGAAGCUACUAAAGUUGGAAUUACGAUGAGAUUCAAGUUUUCGACGAGACUUUGUUGGUAAAAAUGUUUCCAAAGUUCAGCUUUGUGCUCGAGCUGAAGACAGGAAUGGAUGAUGAGAAAUGUUGUGACAGCUAGGAGAAGGAAGUAGACGAUUGCUGAGAUUUUGUGCGGGAAAAUCAACUUUGAUUUUUUGGCUGAACUACUGCAACUUUUUGUGAGAAAAAAAGUAUCGUGAAGAAAACUCACCUUUUGGCUCCUUUGGGACUUCAAUUUCAAUCGAACUCAUUUUAUUUUCAAAACUAAGACACAAAACGAGAUCUAUUCUAAACAGUUCUAACGCGAAAUUCCAACUAAAUCGCUUCCUCGUAAAAAUCAGAAACCAACAUAUGAACUGAUUUUUUUAAAAAUAAUAAUAUUAUUAUUAUUUCUACACGGCAAAAAAGUCAUCAUUAUACAAUUUUCAUUUUUAUGAAUAGUCAAUCACUCAUGAAGCCACUGUUUGUUGGUUUUAAGUCAAUUUUUAAUGAGAUUGUUAUCAGUUCAAGUGCUUUAUGGAUGAGCCCUGUAUAAACAUCGCACAAAAUUAAUUGACCAUAAAUCACGCUAUUGCGUUCUUUGGGUU